rnacentral:rRNA from 1 species
GACGAACGCUGGCGGCGUGCUUAACACAUGCAAGUCGAACGGAAAGGCCCUGCUUUUGUGUGGUGCUCGAGUGGCGAACGGGUGAGUAACACGUGAGUAACCUGCCCUUGACUUUGGGAUAACUUCAGGAAACUGGGGCUAAUACCGGAUAGGAGCUCCUGCUGCAUGGUGGGGGUUGGAAAGUUUCGGCGGUUGGGGAUGGACUCGCGGCUUAUCAGCUUGUUGGUGGGGUAGUGGCUUACCAAGGCUUUGACGGGUAGCCGGCCUGAGAGGGUGACCGGCCACAUUGGGACUGAGAUACGGCCCAGACUCCUACGGGAGGCAGCAGUGGGGAAUAUUGCACAAUGGGCGGAAGCCUGAUGCAGCAACGCCGCGUGCGGGAUGACGGCCUUCGGGUUGUAAACCGCUUUCGCCUGUGACGAAGCGUGAGUGACGGUAAUGGAUAAAGAAGCACCGGCUAACUACGUG